CAAAGAACUGUCAUCUAAAAGGAAACGACAGCUGUUUGCCUCUUUUGCACAAGAGCUCUUCAGACAUCUAGAUGAGCAAGAGAAAGACGCCACAAAUAUAUGAGACUUACACUGCAUUGAGUGAAUCUACACAUCUGUUGUCUUCCACUGGCUUAAACAUUGAAAGUGUAGGAUGAAUUUGUUGGAUUAGUCAUCUGUAUUAUACAGUCCUAAUACAUAUAUAAUACAAAAUCCAAAGUCCAAUGUUGAACCAAGGAAAUAAAAUGCUGGCAUCACUGUUACUGCAUUACAUUUUAGGUCCAUGGAAAAUAUGCUUUAUUUGUGAAGAGGAAACUUGGCUCAUUGGAAGUGGGUCUUGAUGAUAUAUAGAGAGUUAUAUUAAUACAAAAUCUUUAGUUAUGGUAAUAAGUUUUAGGUUAAGUGGUUAGAUAAUUCAAAGGUCAAAAGUUAGGCUGUACCCACCAUAAUGUGCAUGAGUUAUGAGAUUUUGAUGAAUUAAUAAAAAAAACAUUACUUUUGUUCUGAUUAUGCCAAUACAAAUUAAUAGUGAUAUUAAUUAAUAGAUUAAUUAAUUAAGAGUGAGCCUGCAAAACUACAUUUUAAAUUCCAUUCUUGUUGUGAAGGAUUAAAUUUUUUUUUAUACAGCUAAGCUUCAAAAAGAAAAAACAAUAACUUUUGCAAAACUAUUUAAAUUAUAGAGGUGCCUGCUUACGGGUUUUAUAUCAUGUCUGAUUGCAGAUUUGUAACUUAGUGACUAAUGUUACAUGUUACAGUUAUGCAGCUGUACGUACUAUUAUGUACAUAAUAAAAUUGAAAUUAUUUACAUUAUGAAA
rnacentral:sRNA from 1 species